CCCUUAGAUGUCCGGGGCCGCACGCGCGCUACACUGAAGGAAUCAGCGUGGCUUUCUCCCUGACCCGAAAGGGUUGGGAAACCCGUUGAAUCUCCUUCGUGAUAGGGAUUGGGGCUUGAAAUUGUUCCCCAUGAACGAGGAAUUCCCAGUAAGCGCGAGUCAUAAGCUCGCGUUGAUUACGUCCCUGCCCUUUGUACACACCGCCCGUCGCUACUACCGAUUGAACGGUUUAGUGAGGGCCUCGCAUUGGUCUCGGCCCGCUCUUUACCGGGCGGCGCCGUUGGUCGAGAAGACGCUCGAACUUGAUCGUUUAGAGGAAGUAAAAGUCGUAACA
rnacentral:rRNA from 1 species